GUCCUCCGUCGCCCAGGACCUGUGUUGGAACAAUACAGAGAAGACUAGCAUGGCCCCUGCGCAAGGAUGACACGCAAAUUCGUGAAGCGUUCCAAUUUUUU
rnacentral:snRNA from 1 species